rnacentral:snRNA from 1 species
GAAUGAGAGGGUGAUCAACUGACAUCUGUCACUCCACUGAUUACUAGUGUUGAUUCAACUGAUCUGACUGGCUAGGUAGGUGUCCCCUUCUGCCCUUAAUGCUCCAUGUGAGUCCCCCCUGAAGCUGCAAGCUCAGUUGAAGAGGACAACUUCUCUCAAACAGAGACAGACCAGUCCAUCUUUGGUCGAGAGUAUAGAAGUAGCUGUGCUCCCCUGCUAGAGCCCCCAAACAAGCUCUCAAGGUAAAAUGUGAGAGUUAUCACUUCCUCUAAGACACUGUCACUAACUCUGUGACUCUAU